rnacentral:rRNA from 1 species
GNAUUUAUUGGGCGUAAAGCGAGCGCAGGCGGUUAGAUAAGUCUGAAGUUAAAGGCUGUGGCUUAACCAUAGUACGCUUUGGAAACUGUUUAACUUGAGUGCAGAAGGGGAGAGUGGAAUUCCAUGUGUAGCGGUGAAAUGCGUAGAUAUAUGGAGGAACACCGGUGGCGAAAGCGGCUCUCUGGUCUGUAACUGACGCUGAGGCUCGAAAGCGUGGGGAGCAAACAGGAUUAGAUACCCUGGUAGUCCACGCCGUAAACGAUGAGUGCUAGGUGUUGGGUCCUUUCCGGGACUCAGUGCCGCAGCUAACGCAUUAAGCACUCCGCCUGGGGAGUACGACCGCAAGGUUGAAACUCAAAGGAAUUGACGGGGGCCCGCACAAGCGGUGGAGCAUGUGGUUUGAUUCGAAGCAACGCGAAGAACCUUACCAGGUCUUGACAUCCCUCUGACCGCUCUAGAGAUAGAGUUUUCCUUCGGGACAGAGGUGACAGGUGGUGCAUGGUUGUCGUCAGCUCGUGUCGUGAGAUGUUGGGUUANNNNNNNNNACGAGCGCAACCCCUAUUGUUAGUUGCCAUCAUUGAGUUGGGCACUCUAGCGAGACUGCCGGUAAUAAACCGGAGGAAGGUGGGGAUGACGUCAAAUCAUCAUGCCCCUUAUGACCUGGGCUACACACGUGCUACAAUGGCUGGUACAACGAGUCGCGAGUCGGUGACGGCAAGCUAAUCUCUUAAAGCCAGUCUCAGUUCGGAUUGUAGGCUGCAACUCGCCUACAUGAAGUCGGAAUCGCUAGUAAUCGCGGAUCAGCACGCCGCGGUGAAUACGUUCCCGGGCCU